rnacentral:misc_RNA from 1 species
AAUAAUAAUAAUAAUAAUAAUUCACCUCUCAAAAUGGUCGAAGAUUCCUGUUCAACCCAUUAACAUUAGAUAAAAACCCAACCAAGUCCUGCCUGUACGGCAGGAAGGACCGUCGUUUAUCCUCCUCCUUGAGGGCUCUGCCCUUCGCGUAAUGCUCUUUAAUCUUAUCUUUCUCUUUGUUCUCUUUACAAGCUUCAUCUUCCAUUACUCUUUCGCUGCUCUUCUUUGCUGGCGUCAAGAACACGAAGUUAUCCUUUCCAUCGCUGUUACUUCUGUAAAGCAAGUCUCGAAACUUCCAUCUCUUCGAAGACCCAGUGGAACUGCUCUUCUUGCACGUUCCGGGGGAUUCCUUUCCCUUCUUUGGAGUCCACACGCAGUAAGUCCCAGCCGGCACGUUUUCCAGGUCGUCGGCCUCCGAAGAGGAGCAAGACGUCGUUUCUUGCUCUUCGCUGAAGAGUUUCCUCAACGGUAAUCUGUUGCGUUUGGCGGUUUGGGAUUGGUCGGAGACAGUGGAUGCUGGUUUGGAUAAUUCUUCUCCAUCCAUGAGCAAAUCGGUGUUAAAUAAAGGAUAGAUUGGCCUUAUCUGUCCGUUAUAGAAGAUCUCAUCAGCCGGAAUAGGCGACGCGUCCUGCUCUGUACACACAAUUGCAAACUCGAACUCUUCCUCGUCAUCAUCAUCAUCUUCAUCGUCGUCGUCGGCUCCGAGUUUCUUGUGGUCUUCUCGUUUUUGCAUUGAUGGUGGGAAAUGUUGCUUUGUUUUCCAAGAGAAACAGUUAGAGUCAUCAUUAGAGAAUUCUUGGGUGACUCUAGCUGCAAUCUCAGCAAGCUUCCCAGAAGAAUAAGAGUUGAAGCUGGGGGAGCUUGGAGAGAGGGCGAUGAGUGAUGCCUGCAUCUGCAGCAGCUUUUCAAUGGCGAUACACAAAUUUUGGUGUAUUCUUUGAGAGAGAAAUAGUG